GGUCCAAUGGUCUAGCUGGUUAUGACGCCGCCUCGACAUGGCGGAGAUCCCAGGUUCGAAUCCUGGUUGGACCA
rnacentral:tRNA from 1 species